GAAGCCGUGGAAAUGUGUUGCCCUCUGUGGUUGUCAUAAUAAUAUUAAUUACAGUCGGAUUCUUCCCCAUUUCAGCCAACAAGCUGCCAGUCGCUGCUCUGACGUCUGCAGGGCGCAGGGUGUGGAGAGACGGGGCUGCUGUGGAUGAGCUGAGAGUGACACUCACACGCCUCGGCUUUAUUAGGCGACGAUCGACACAUGAUCGUUCAUUGACGGCGUCGAGCUAAUUGACAAACAAAUAAAAAACCUAUGGCGGCCUUUUUUAUGUCAUUUAUCUAGGACGCAGCUUUGCCUGAACUCGUUCUUUUAAAUGUAGAUCUCCAAGCAUGCCCCACUUACAGAUGUUUGUUUUUUAAAAAUGGAUUUAUGCUUUUUAAUCUUUGAAUAAUUAGACAGAAUAAUAGCGUGAAAGUGACGUCUUCCUUUAUAAUAUAUAUAGAGAGAGACAAAGAAAAAAAGUAGCGCAAUGUUCCCAUAAUAUUCCGGAUUGGAUUCUGUGGUUUUCUUAUUCAAAAGUGAGUUUUCAGUGACCUCACUGGACUCGAUUGUAUUUCCCAUCAGCAGCAAUGCGUUUCAUUCACUCCACUGUGCGAUAACAAGCGCGGUCGAUGCUCUCCUGUGAGCUGCAGUGGGUGACCACACUGAGUCUGAGGAUCACUUUCACACGCUGCUGUUGUUGUAGAUGCACGGGACGAGAAAAAAACAAAAACAAAAAAACAAAAAAACAAAACAAAACCAGACGUCCCUCUCUGCAUCAUCGUCAUCAUCAUCAUCAUCUCUUGCCGCUUGACCUGCCAUUUGGAUGCCUGGCACGUGGUGACACCCGGAAAUAAAGCCCCUCUCCGAGCUCGCGAGUACUUUUUUUGCGGGGCCCAGUAAUCAAAAAAGUGCGCCCUCGUGCCCUUCAUCCGCUCUCCGGCAGACGCAAUUAAUAGCGCGUCGCGUUAAUUACACCUUCCUUUUUAUUUAGGUGACUUGAAAUUUCCCAUUAGGCUCACAGGGAAGGGGGGGAAAAAGGAGAAGAAAAAAAAAAUAACCCACUCCGGUGUUGUGGUGCUGAGCUGUGGAGACACACAGAGAGGAGGAUAGUCGGUGCUCUACCGCCAUCUAGCGACGCCGGCGUGACCCCGAGGGACACAUGCCAAGAGUGAUUUGUCUGCUACAGAUUUCCUGGAAGGAAGCCACUUGAAAAGUUCUGACGACUGCAGCGCAGCCUGGGGAUGUUUUUUUACUGAGUGCCAGAGACGGCUCAAUCAGACUGCGAGAAGUACGACUCAUUUUUCCAAAGGAGACAACAGCGGCCAACGCCUCCUGCUUAUAGAAAACAGGAUGCUUUCUGGUGUCGAGACUUGGUUAAAUGAGCGAUCCUGACUCAGUGCGCUGAAAACAACAUUUCAUUGGUAAUGAGCAGAUUCACCAACUCGUAGGAAAAAAUGACAAACGCACGCGUUAUUGAUCAACAGUCGGACAUAUCUGUCUGUCUGAAGCAACAACAUUAAUACAUAAUCUUCCUCUGAUCACAUCGCGUAAUGCAACAUUGUGAAUAACGACGUAAUGUUUCAAUAUGAUUUCCUGGGGUCUAAUUAAUUUUGAAAAUGAGUGUUUUUGUGACAAACUUUAUUUACCCCCCCAGAGAUCUUAAUCUAAUGUCUUCGUAUGAAGUUUGCCUGUCAAACAUCAUGUCCAUCUCUGAGUCGUGUGAAGAUGAAUCAGCCUUCUGUAUCAAUCACUCGUUCAAUCUGUCUCCUUCUCUUUCUCCUCCCUCCUCCUCCUCCUCCUCAGCACGCAGAUAACAGUGAUACAAGCUCAUGAGCUGAACAUAAUUCCACCAUUUGACAUUGUUGUUCUUCAAUCUCACUCAGAUGCAUCGCAGCUAAUUACACUUUGCACACUUAAGUACACAAAUGCGUGUGUGCGUUCAUUUGUAAACGAGUUAUUGUUUAAUUAUAACUUCACAUGAACUUUGCUGAUCAGUGGGGCGAAUCGUGUCUCCCCUUCAGCGCGUAAUUAUUCAGGCUAUAAUUGCUCGGCCUGUUUGUGAGACAUGCUCGUCUCCCAGCAAGGCCAGCCUACACAGAUCCUCUGUGAGGGACGACCACGAGCCUCUGGAUGCUUUCUGUUCGAGGCUGCAGACAGAACAGGAAGCAUCUGAUGGACAAACGCCAUCACGAUUACAAGCGACAAAGAUAAUCAGGAGCUAAAAGAGCAUCAAAACUGCAAAAAUGACGCUUUUUCUUGUUAGACGUGUCAGAUUCAUGAUUAUGAGAAAUACCUUCCUCAGUUACGUGAAUUAAAUAAUCUCAGUUUAGUCUCUAUUUACCACCUUUUAGGAGCUUUAAACUGCAACUCUCUAGAUUAUGGAAUUGACUCUGUUUGAGACAGUUCCAUCAGUUUGCUGAUGAAAACCAUGGCUGAAAGUUUAGAAAAAGCUAGUAAGUGUACCCUUGAUUUGAGAUUAUUUUUGUCACACUUACUGAUCAGCUGGUCAAAAUUUGAUGUGCGAAGGUUUUCUUAUACAAAAAAAUAUAUUCAUAUACAAAAAAAAAGAAAUAAAACCAAAGCAUAUUAUUCACAGAAAAUGAUGAAAACAUGCAAAACAUGUUACGGUGUUUUUUUUGUUAACAGGAAAAUAUACAAGAGCAUUGUAUAUUUAUGGGGAGAAUAAAAUUAAAAAGACAACUAACUUGACUGUGGUAAAUAAAAUUAAACUACAUUGCGACUGAAUGUCAUUUCUACUGUGAGGGGUUUAUCGUUUAAAACUAAAACAAAUGAUGUAUUUUGAUGAUGUUAUGGGAUCAUGGGAGUUGUUGUUU